rnacentral:rRNA from 1 species
GAUGAACGCUAGCGGCAGGCCUAACACAUGCAAGUCGAGGGAGAGGUUUCCUUCGGGUAACCAACACCGGCGCACGGGUGCGUAACGCGUAUACAAUCUGCCUUUCACAUAGGGAUAGCCCGAAGAAAUUUGGAUUAAUACCUAAUGGUAUAUAAGAGCGGCAUCGUUUUUAUAUUAAAGCUACGGUGGUGAAAGAUGAGUAUGCGUUCUAUUAGCUAGUUGGAGAGGUAACGGCUCCCCAAGGCGACGAUAGAUAGGGGUUCUGAGAGGGAUGUCCCCCACACUGGUACUGAGAGACGGACCAGACUCCUACGGGAGGCAGCAGUGAGGAAUAUUGGAAAAUGGUCGGAAGACUGAUCCAGCCAUGACGCGUGCAGGAUGAAGGUCAUAUGGAUUGUAAACUGCUGUUGUAAGGGAAGAAUAAGGAGUACGUGUACUUUGAUGACGGUACCUUACGAAUAAGCAUCGGCUAACUACGUG